rnacentral:rRNA from 1 species
UAAUACGUAGGGGGCUAGCGUUGUCCGGAAUCAUUGGGCGUAAAGAGCGCGUAGGCGGCCAGAUAAGUCCGGUGUGAAAGUCACAGGCUCAACCUGUGAAUGCCGCUGGAAACUGUCUGGCUAGAGUCCGGAAGGGGCGAGUGGAAUUCCUGGUGUAGCGGUGAAAUGCGCAGAUAUCAGGAGGAACACCAAUGG